AUCCCGAUGGCUGACGGCUUCGCCUUCAUCAAGGCGCAUCUCGAACGCGAAGGCCGCCCCAUCACUGCGCUGGCCGCCUGCGAACUGCGCUCGCCUGCCGCCAUGACCGGCGAGCAGUUUCAGGCUUUCNNUUUGAAGACCCUGCAUCAGUGGGGGUGCAAGGCCGGCGACAUCAAUCCGCUGGCGCGCAGCAAUCUUGCGCCGAUCACGGAAGUGCCGAGCGAGGCGAUGUUCUUCGCCUUCACCUACACCGUACCCGAAGCCGGAGCCGGAGCCUCGGGCGAUU
rnacentral:misc_RNA from 1 species